UACAGAGGGGGCAAGCGUUAUUCGGAAUUAUUGGGCGUAAAGGGCUCGUAGGCGGCCAACUAAGUCAGACGUGAAAUCCCUCGGCUUAACCGGGGAACUGCGUCUGAUACUGGAUGGCUUGAGUUUGGGAGAGGGAUGCGGAAUUCCAGGUGUAGCGGUGAAAUGCGUAGAUAUCUGGAGGAACACCGGUGGCGAAGGCGGCAUCCUGGACCAACACUGACGCCGAGGAGCGAAAGCCAGGGGAGCAAACGGG
rnacentral:rRNA from 1 species